UACCUGCAGCUCAAGUGGUGGCCGCUAUUAUUGGGCCUAAAACGUUCGUAGCCGGUUUAGUAAAUGCUUGGGUAAAUUGUGUCGCUUAACGAUACGAAUACCGGGUAGACUGCUAAACUUAGGACCGGGAGAGGCUAGAGGUACUCCUGGGGUAGAGGUGAAAUUCUGUAAUCCUGGGGGGACCACCAGUGGCGAAGGCGUCUAGCCAGAACGGGUCUGACGGUGAGGAACGAAGCCCUGGGGCGCAAACCGGAUUAGAUACCCGGGUAGUCCAGGGUGUAAACGCUGCUCGCUUGAUGUUAGUUGGGCUCCGAGCCCAACUAGUGUCGGAGAGAAGUUGUUAAGCGAGCUGCCUGGGAAGUACGGUCGCAAGACUGAAACUUAAAGGAAUUGGCGGGGAGCACAGCAACGGGUGGAGCGUGCGGUUU
rnacentral:rRNA from 1 species